CAGAAGAAGGCCAAUGUGAGGCUAAGGGUUGAGUGGAAGCUGGAGCCCAGAGCAUCCUGAGGGUAGUGGCAGCCGUCAAGACAACAUCUUCAAGAAAUUUCCAGAGAAAGGACUUCAUGCUGUCCAGAAACUGCAGAGUGGUGGCAAUGAGUGAAGUGAGCUGACUCCUUCUGAACACCUCAACCCCACCUCCCCAAACUGGCCAAGGUUUGGGCUUCCAGACCGCCUAAGGUCCUAUCUUGGCUGGUGAGAAGGGCUCCAGGACACACAGCUCCUGAAGAUGGCAUGUUAGAUGCUGGGCUGGGCACUGGGAUGAAAACAAAACACAAAACAGGUCUUGUCCCCAAGGGAGCCUGUUAUGUAAACAAAUAACCAAGGUACACUGUGUAAAGUGCAAUAAUAGAUGUACGUGUGAGAUUUGGUGGCAGCACAAAGUGGGAGAAAGAGGGGCAGAAUUAUAAUUUAGGGCUUUAGCUCAGAGGUGGCCCAAGGGCGUGUCUGCCAGCAGGAGUCAUCUUUCCUGUGAGCUGAAGCAGAGAAAGAAGCUGGGAAUUCUAGUCUAGAAGGACGUUAGGUUCCAGGAUGAAAAAUAUCAAUGCUAAGAAAAUGUCAAAUGUUCUAGAAAUCAUAAAGUUUACACCUCUAAGUCCUGUGUUGGGGUGUGGGUUUGGAUAGUUUCAACCUGGGCUUAGGAAGGUGGUGAGAGAGGGUGGAAGAGGGUGUUUAGGAGGUUGUUAUGGUCAGUGGGCUCCAAGACCCAGGAAAGCUAGCGGGAAAGAGACCCAGCCUUGUCUACUAUCUCUGGGCUAGGCCCACAGCAGCCAUGCUGCCUCAUCUCCAAGGAGGACAGGAAGGCUUGGACCAGCCCAGAUGCUCCUCUCUCUAAACCCCUCAAGUUUAUCUAAGCCAGCGCUGGGAUUAUCCCAGUGGGAUUCCAGGUCUCCACCCAGGCCACUUCCUCCUGCCAAAGUCUGCAAUGAGCCUGGCUGGGCAAGUGAGUCUUUGGCAACUUGCACUCAUUCUUCGCGGAUAAACUGUGUGGUCUCUGAAACUCUGUCUUCUCCCAAGAUUAGCCCAGAAAGUUUUGGUAGGGGAAGUGGGGGCACUGUGGACACUGGCACAGCUCUAUUUGCCCCCUGUAGCCCAGUAGCCUUCAGUCAUGCCCACCCCAUGGCACUGUGGACACAGGUGUGCUUUCCCGUGGUCACAGAAUGCUGGUGUCACAUGGGACACCCCUGCUUUGCCAAUCUUUAAUUUUAUGCCCAGGCAACUUCCCUCUGUGCAGGCUAAUCCCAGAUGGUGGUUUUAGACAGCUGUCCUCAGCCCAGCCAAGGGCAAGGGAGAGGGAAGGGCACCCAGGCCUGGGUGUUCGGUAUGCAGU